rnacentral:rRNA from 1 species
GAUGAAUGCUGGCGGCGUGCCUAAUACAUGCAAGUCGAGCGAACAGACGAGGAGCUUACUCCUCUGACGUUAGCGGCGGACGGGUGAGUAACACGUGGAUAACCUACCUAUAAGACUGGGAUAACUUCGGGAAACCGGAGCUAAUACCGGAUAACAUGUUGAACCGCAUGGUUCAACAGUGAAAGACGGUCUUGCUGUCACUUAUAGAUGGAUCCGCGUCGCAUUAGCUAGUUGGUAAGGUAACGGCUUACCAAGGCAACGAUGCGUAGCCGACCUGAGAGGGUGAUCGGCCACACUGGAACUGAGACACGGUCCAGACUCCUACGGGAGGCAGCAGUAGGGAAUCUUCCGCAAUGGGCGAAAGCCUGACGGAGCAACGCCGCGUGAGUGAAGAAGGUCUUCGGAUCGUAAAACUCUGUUAUUAGGGAAGAACAAAUGUGUAAGUAACUAUGCACGUCUUGACGGUACCUAAUCAGAAAGCCACGGCUAACUACGUG